GUCUGAUCCAAUUCCAACGUGACCAGUGUUUCAUCUCAUUUGCUCUGAAACCAGGUCCAUAGCAGGACUACAGGGACAGCAACACGCUGUGGGAAAAAAGAGCGUUUCCUUUCAACAAAAUUACAAAGUAAAAUGAUUUUUGCUAAACAAUGCAUCUCGUUUAACAAAAGAUAACUCCGUUCCUUCAAAAAUAGCUGCAACAUGAAUAUCACCAAUUUUCAUCCAAAAUAAAAUUAUUUUCUCAUGAUAAUCGUCAUUCAGGAAGAAAAGCCACUCGCAGAAUAAUUGAAAGGGUUUCUCAUCAUCUAACAUACCAGGUCAACAUGGCACCAUCGAUCCAUUUUAUUUAGCCGGG